GCGACCUUUUAUAGAAGUGGCAGUUAUUGGGCACAAGUCUUUACACUCAUGAAGGUAUGUUUAAGGAUGUUGAAGGGUUCAAAUAAAUUCAGAGGGGAUGAUACUCAUUAAUAUUGAAAAUACACGGAGCAUGAGUUUGUUGUGUUGGCGUCGACCAUAAUGUGGUUUGUUUACUUUCAUAUGGAUUUCAGCCAGUGUUAUAUCCAAUGCUGUGGAUAUGGGUUUGUGCCGUAACUGAGACGUGAUGGCAACUACUGGGAAUCAUGGACUGUGAUAGUGUGGCCAUUGAAGUUGAAACUUUGCUCCAAUAAAAGACUGUUGCAGC
rnacentral:lncRNA from 1 species